rnacentral:lncRNA from 1 species
CCUUCUCCCUAGAAGAAUGGGAGAACUAUAAUUCUGUACCUUGUGAGUUCCAGUGCCCUGGACAUGGUAACACUUACACAUCGUGUGUAUGUGUAUGCUGAAGAAAAAAAGAAGAAUGAAUAUUAUUAACCCAAAUUGAAAUACUCUUGUGGAUAUGUUCAGAUGACAGCCUUCUUCAAAGGAGUCUCAUUUGUCUUUGAAAACC